AGGGUUGUGGCUCAGAGGUAGAGCACUCGCUUAGCAUGUGCGAGGCACUGGGUUCGAUCCUCAGCAGCACAU
rnacentral:tRNA from 1 species